rnacentral:rRNA from 1 species
UACGUAGGGUGCGAGCGUUAAUCGGGAUUACUGGGCGUAAAGCGUGCGCAGGCGGUUUUGUAAGACAGGCGUGAAAUCCCCGGGCUCAACCUGGGAACUGCGUUUGUGACUGCAAGGCUAGAGUAUGGCAGAGGGGGGUGGAAUUCCACGUGUAGCAGUGAAAUGCGUAGAGAUAUGGAGGAACACCGAUGGCGAAGGCAGCCCCCUGGGUCAAGAUUGACGCUCAUGCACGAAAGCGUGGGGAGCAAACAGG